rnacentral:rRNA from 1 species
UGCCAGCAGCCGCGGUAAUACGAAGGGACCUAGCGUAGUUCGGAAUUAUUGGGUUUAAAGGGUCCGCAGGCUGUUUGUUAAGUUAGAGGUGAAAUCCUACCGCUCAACGGUAGAACUGCCUUUAAUACUGGCAAACUUGAGUUAUUGUGAAGUAAUUAGAAUGUGUAGUGUAGCGGUGAAAUGCAUAGAUAUUACACAGAAUACCGAUUGCGAAAGCAGAUUACUAACAAUUAACUGACGCUGAGGGACGAAAGCGUGGGUAGCGAACAGGAUUAGAUA